CUGGCUCAGGAUGAACGCUAGCUACAGGCUUAACACAUGCAAGUCGAGGGGCAGCAUGAAGUUUGCUUGCAAACUUGAUGGCGACCGGCGCACGGGUGAGUAACGCGUAUCCAACCUUCCCCUUAGUAGGGGAUAGCCCGGCGAAAGUCGGAUUAAUACUCUAUGUUGUAUUUUGAGGACAUCUGACGAAUACCAAAGAUUCAUCGCUAAGGGAUGGGGAUGCGUCUGAUUAGCUUGUUGGCGGGGUAACGGCCCACCAAGGCGACGAUCAGUAGGGGUUCUGAGAGGAAGGUCCCCCACAUUGGUACUGAGACACGGACCAAACUCCUACGGGAGGCAGCAGUGAGGAAUAUUGGUCAAUGGGCGAGAGCCUGAACCAGCCAAGUAGCGUGCAGGAAAGACUGCCCUAUGGGUUGUAAACUGCUUUUAUCAGGGAAUAAAGUUCGGCACGUGUGCUGUUUUGUAUGUACCUGAUGAAUAAGGACCGGCUAAUUCCGUGCCAGCAGCUGC
rnacentral:rRNA from 1 species